rnacentral:rRNA from 1 species
GAUGAACGCUGGCGGCGUGCUUAACACAUGCAAGUCGAGCGAAGCACUUAGGAAAGAUUCUUCGGAUGAUUUCCUUUGUGACUGAGCGGCGGACGGGUGAGUAACGCGUGGGUAACCUGCCUCAUACAGGGGGAUAACAGUUAGAAAUGACUGCUAAUACCGCAUAAGACCACGGUACCGCAUGGUACAGUGGUAAAAACUCCGGUGGUAUGAGAUGGACCCGCGUCUGAUUAGGUAGUUGGUGGGGUAACGGCCUACCAAGCCGACGAUCAGUAGCCGACCUGAGAGGGUGACCGGCCACAUUGGGACUGAGACACGGCCCAGACUCCUACGGGAGGCAGCAGUGGGGAAUAUUGCACAAUGGAGGAAACUCUGAUGCAGCGACGCCGCGUGAAGGAUGAAGUAUUUCGGUAUGUAAACUUCUAUCAGCAGGGAAGAAAAUGACGGUACCUGACUAAGAAGCCCCGGC